rnacentral:rRNA from 1 species
UACGUAGGGGGCAAGCGUUGUCCGGAUUUAUUGGGCGUAAAGAGCGUGUAGGCGGCCAGGUAGGUCAGCUGUGAAAACUCGAGGCUCAACCUCGAGACGCCGGUUGAAACCAUCUGGCUAGAGUCCGGAAGAGGAGAGUGGAAUUCCUGGUGUAGCGGUGAAAUGCGCAGAUAUCAGGAAGAACACCCGUGGCGAAGGCGGCUCUCUGGGGACGUGACUGACGCUGAGACGCGAAAGCGUGGGGAGCGAAGCAGG